UGGGUUCUUCUUGUCAACUGGAGUGAUUGAGAGAAUAGAGAUUAGAGGGUUUGUGACUGGGUUGCUUUACGCCGUGCUCUUCGUUCUCAAGCAGCAAUGGGUGUUAGAGUUCCCAAUCAUUCAGGUUUGUGUCUCUAUGAUUCUUGAUUCAUCGAUUUGUUGUCAUCUUCACUGAUUGUUACUUGUUUUGAUCCACACAUCAUCAAAUGCAUCAGUUCGCCACCGAAUUAGCCAUUUGAAGGAAAGAAGUCUGCUUUGGGUUUUCUUUUUUGUAAAAGGCUUUUAUAUUAAAAUGCAGAAAAAAGAAAAUAAUACAAACCUUAAUGAUGAUUAUCAUUCUUUGUUCAAACUUUAGAUUAAUUAAUUAAUUAAAGAUUUUUCAACAUGGGAGUUGAAUCAACGGCUACGAUUACGGGUAACAUUACAAAAUCUCUCAUAAAAACGUUCGGCCUUUGAGUGGCGCGAGUAUAUCUCACACGCGACUCUAGUUUUCUCUCUAAAUCAACAUCGCUUUCGCCUAGGGUAAAGACACAGACGUCGCCGGCAGUCUCGUCGGUGGUCGUUGUGGAUCACCCUCUGGUCUCUGAGCAUCAAGACGGAGCAGUAUUGAUAGUAACCUGGUAGCUCUUCUCUUCCCGUCUUGGUGAAUCGGACGGGUUCUGUGAAGGGGAAGAAGACCCCUACGAUGGCUUAGCUCCUGGUGGCUCGUCAGGAGUAUGCUCUGCUCUCCCUGUAAUGAGGACGACGGGGACGCGAACAGAAACUGCAUAGUCAUUCAUCGGAGGCUAGUGGUCUGUCCCGACGGUUGAAUUUUCGUGUUUGGUGACGGAGGAUUUAUGGACUGGGAUGGCAGUUCCCCUUCGUGUGUUUCUCCUCCGGCCCGGACGCGGAUCUUCACCGCCUAGAUGAAAGGGAGGAGGCGGUCUCUCAGACUUUUGAAGAGACGAUGGUCAUGUAGCAGACGUCAGCGAUUAGAGUUUGGUGUCGAUUUUUCUACAAAGUCAACGUCUUUGGCCGCGGGGACAACUCCGAAGUCAACUCCGAAGGCAGAUGGUGGCGGAUCUAGGGUUGGAAUUGGACAUCUGGCCUUUGCGAUGUACCGGAGCUGGUUGGUGUUGCUCGUGUUCAACCAGAGAUUCACUGAAAGGAAUAAAGAUGGGGAUGCAUUAAAUGAGAUAUCAUGUGAGGAGUGGGAAGUCGGUGCAAAUGAGAGGGUGAAUUACGAUGAUUCUAGCUCUUGCUUCUUCUGUCCGCACGUGAUGUUGGAGAUUGAAGAGACUGGAUAAACCCUAAAUUUUGGUGUGCAGAUGAGGAAGAUGAUAUGGGUUAAUCCCGUUCUGGUUCAUUAAAUCAGGGAGCCCAACAAAUAAAGCCCAAACAAUGCUAAUUCAAUGCAUAAAAAUGAAACGCAUCGUUUGUGGGAAGACGAGACACGUGUCGUGCAUAAGAAAGUCAAUUUGAUGAUGUGGCAGCAUAGAAAAAAAGAGUAGCUCUUCUUUAUAUAUAUAGAUUCUUUACACUUGAGGAACCUCCUUAUUUAUAUACGACUGAAGUUCAUAUCUUUUCUUUUUCUUUCCACACGAUUUUUAUAGUUGAUUUCGUAUUCUUUGCCGACUCCUAUUCCAAUAAUAAUAUAAUAUGAAAAUUCAUUCAUUGAAGGAACACUAUUUUUUGUAUUGUCAUAGUUUGGUCUAUGAAUAUAUUUAUUUGUUUUGCAUGUG